GCCCCCAUCGUCUAGUGGCCUAGGACUGCGGCCCUUCAAGCCGCCGACAGGGGUUCGAGUCCCCUUGGGGGCACCA
rnacentral:tRNA from 2 species